UAAUACGGAGGGUGCGAGCGUUAAUCGGAAUUACUGGGCGUAAAGGGUGCGUAGGUGGUUUCUUAAGUUAUCUGUGAAAUUCCUGGGCUCAACCUGGGCAUGUCAGAUAAUACUGAAAGACUUGAGUAUAGGAGAGGGUAGUGGAAUUUCCGGUGUAGCGGUGAAAUGCGUAGAGAUCGGAAGGAACACCGGUGGCGAAGGCGGCUACCUGGCCUAAUACUGACACUGAGGCACGAAAGCGUGGGGAGCAAACAGGAUUAGAUACCCUGGUAGUCCACGCUGUAAACGAUGUCAACUAGCUGUUGGAUAUAUGAAUAUAUUUAGUAGCGCAGCAAACGCGAUAAGUUGACCGCCUGGGGAGUACGGUCGCAAGAUUA
rnacentral:rRNA from 1 species